rnacentral:lncRNA from 1 species
GGGGUGGCAAGUGAGAUUACUUUUUUCGCAAAUUGCUGGACCCCGGAAGAUGGUGAAAAAUGUCACUCUCCUCAUGAAAUAAUCCCAAAAUUCUGAUCAUAAAAUUCAAUAAAAAAAUUGUCCUUUCUAAUAAUUUAUUUCAGGUCAAAUCUACAUAUUUCUUUUCUCAUCACAUCAGCUCUAUAAAACAGUUCUUAUUGUUCAUUUAUGUCCAUUUUUAAAAUCACAGCAUCCACAAUUGUAUGGCGGACUAAUAUAUUUUUUUAAUUACGUCAUCUGAGUUCCUCAUCUCAAGGUCUAUUAGGGAUCCUGACCCAUUUGGGUGGUAUUAACAGCUUUUUAUAUGACCACUAAAAAUGUGCAUUUGUAUAAUGCUAUUGUGGUGGCAUUGUCUUUGUUGGUAGGGACAGGGUCGUCAUUUGAAUACACAUUUGAUUUCCAGACAAUAACUGUUAAGUUUAAGUGUAUGGAUCUCUUUGAAAUUAAACC